CACAGGAAGUGAAGGCUUGGCCUUGUCUAUGAAAGGAAACAGAGAGACUGAAACUUUCACCCUUAUUUCUACCCGAGAUACAAGCACAUGCCUGAAGCUCCGGAAGAGGUGGCAAAUCCAGGGGAAAGUCAAGGGAAUGAUAGAUAGGCUAUUAAUGCAUUAUCAAAGAGGGAAGCCAAUGCUGGCAGUUGACAAAGCUCAUUGUGAUGAUUCAGUGAGUCAACAUAUGCAAGACCUUUGGAAGGGGGCCUGAGACAUGGUACAUACUCUAUCAUGUUCCCUCUAACAACAAACAUCCUCUUACUUCACUA